AUGAGAAGUGAAGACAAGAAAAGGAGCGCACGACACGAGCCCUUGGCAAAAAUAUUUUUUAUCCUGUUUGUUCGUCUAUUUUUGUGCGAUAGGUCCAUGGACGAAACCCAACAUAUCUUGGCAAUCGUCUCUGAAGUUCUAAUAACAACGAGAGUAAUGGGAAACGCAACACCUUAUGCUGUUUCAUUUCUCUUAAGGUUUAUCUAUGGGGUUAUGCUAAUACUUACCAAAGCUGCUUUUAACCAAGGUAUAAGUACAUACGUUCUUAAUUUCUACAAGCAUGUAAUAGCCACCAUCUUCUUACUGCCCAUUGCUUUUGCGAUUGAAAGGUACGCAUAUUUUGGCUGCUUAGUUAGCUAG
rnacentral:rRNA from 1 species